rnacentral:rRNA from 1 species
AUGCAGCUGCCAUUCAGUGACCCAAGCAAACUUGAAAACCAUUUUAACAUUCAGAAUGAAAACACAUGUAAAUUUGCAAGCACAAACAACGAAAUGACAGAGUGCCAGCUCAGGGAUUCAGACCUCAAUAUGUGGCCCUAUUCAGGCCUUCAGUUUCCAUUCACUGAAACAAAUCACCUGGGUGUUUUUUGUGGAUCUCCCUUGCUGAGUUUGUCUGAUCCAUGGCGGCCAUACUUGAAUCUUUGCUUAGAUCAUGUACCAGUAAGUUGCAAAAUAUCAUUACAGAUGAGGCCAUACUAA